CAAAAACAUAGUUAUCAGAAAUAAUUGAUAAUUUCUUCUGCUCAAUGAUUAUUUAAAUAGCCGCAGUACCCUGACUGUGCAAAGGUAGCAUAAUCAGUUGGCUUAUAAUUGAAGUCUUGUAUAAAUGAAAUAAUGAAAGAGUGACUGUAUCAUUAGUAUAAUAUUAAAUUAAUAAAGAGGUGCAAAUGCUUCUAUAUAACUAAUAGACGAGAAGACCCUAGAAAUUUUAAGACGAUGUUUCUUUGGUUUUUGUUGGGGCAACAAUGUAACAGGUAACUUACAUUAUUACAUGAAAUUUAAUGGAUUGAUUAAAUUACUCUAGGGAUAACAGCGUAAUAUUAAAAUGUUUGCGACCUCGAUGUUGGACUAGGAAACGAAUGCUUAGAAGGCUAGAAGUAAUGCUCUGUUCGAGCA
rnacentral:rRNA from 1 species